rnacentral:tRNA from 1 species
GCCCCCAUCGUUUAGCGGUUAGGACACCGGCCCUUCAAGCCGGCAGCAGGGGUUCGAAUCCCCUUGGGGGCACCA